AACGUAGGAGACAACCGUUAUCCGGAGUUACUGGGCGUAAAGGGCGUGUAGGUGGUUUCGUAAGUCUGGCGUGAAAUAUCUCGGCUUAACCGAGGCAGGUCGUCGGAUACUGCGGGACUAGAGGACGGUAGAGGCGUGUGGAAUUCCGGGUGUAGUGGUGAAAUGCGUAGAGAUCCGGAGGAACACCAGUGGCGAAGGCGACACGCUGGGCCGUACCUGACACUGAGGCGCGACAGCAUGGGGAGCAAACAGG
rnacentral:rRNA from 1 species